CAAAUUGUAACUUAAAGUAUUAUUAUUUACAAUAAUAAUUUAGUUGUGUAAUUCUUCUCAAUUUGA
rnacentral:tRNA from 1 species